rnacentral:rRNA from 1 species
UUCCGGUUGAUCCUGCCAGACCUGACUGCUAUCGGAUUGAUACUAAGCCAUGCGAGUCAUUGUAGUAAUACAAGGCAUACGGCUCAGUAACGCGUAGCCAACCUAACCUAUGGACGGGAAUAACCUCGGGAAACUGAGUAUAAUUCCCGAUAGAACAUUAUGCCUGGAAUGGUUUAUGUUCCAAAUGAUUUAUCGCCGUAGGAUGGGACUGCGGCCUAUCAGUUUGUUGGUGAGGUAAUGGCCCACCAAGACUAUUACAGGUACGGGCUCUGAGAGGAGUAGCCCGGAGAUGGGUACUGAGACACGGACCCAGGCCCUAUGGGGCGCAGCAGGCGAGAAAACUUUGCAAUGUGCGAAAGCACGACAAGGUUAAUCCGAGUGGUUUCUGCUAAAGGAACCUUUUGUUAGUCCUAGAAACACUAACGAAUAAGGGGUGGGCAAGUUCUGGUGUCAGCCGCCGCGGUAAAACCAGCACCUCAAGUGGUCAGGAUGAUUAUUGGGCCUAAAGCAUCCGUAGCCGGCUCUGUAAGUUUUCGGUUAAAUCUGUACGCUCAACGUACAGGCUGCCGGGAAUACUGCAGAGCUAGGGAGUGGGAGAGGUAGACGGUACUCGGGAGGAAGGGGUAAAAUCCUUUGAUCUUUCGAUGACCACCUGUGGCGAAGGCGGUCUACCAGAACACGUCCGACGGUGAGGGAUGAAAGCUGGGGGAGCAAACCGGAUUAGAUACCCGGGUAGUCCCAGCUGUAAACUAUGCAAACUCAGUGAUGCAUUGACUUGUGGUCAAUGCAGUGCUGCAGGGAAGCCGUUAAGUUUGCCGCCUGGGAAGUACGUACGCAAGUAUGAAACUUAAA